rnacentral:misc_RNA from 1 species
GAUGAAGAACGUAGCGAAAUGCGAUAAGUAAUGUGAAUUGCAGAAUUCAGUGAAUCAUCGAAUCUUUGAACGCACAUUGCGCCCGCCAGUAUUCUGGCGGGCAUGCCUGUCUGAGCGUCAUUUCAACCCUCAUGCCCCUAGGGCGUGGUGUUGGGGAUCGGCCAAAGCCCGCGAGGGACGGCCGGCCCCUAAAUCUAGUGGCGGACCCGUCGUGGCCUCCUCUGCGAAGUAGUGAUAUUCCGCAUCNNNNNNCGAUGAGCCCCUGCCGUUAAACCCCCAACUUUCCAAGGUUGACCUCAGAUCAGGUAGGAAUACCCGCUGAACUUAAGCAUAUCAAUAAGCGGAGGA